GGCGGUUCGCCGCCGGCGACGUCGCGAGAAGUCCAUUGAACCUUAUCAUUUAGAGGAAGGAGAAGUCGUAACAAGGUUUCCGUAGGUGAACCUGCGGAAGGAUCAUUGUCGAAACCUGCCUAGCAGAACGACCCGUGAACACGUUUAUCACUCCGGGAGGGGCGCUGAAGGCCCUUGGGCUAACAGCCCCUUCCCUAGUCGGGGGGCGCUCCUCGUGGGUGCCUCCCGGCGCAACAACGAACCCCGGCGCGGAAAGCGCCAAGGAACAUGAACACAUAGAGUGCCCUCCCGCGUCCGGUUCGCCGGCGUUGGGCGUGGCACCUGUACAUACUUACAAAACGACUCUCGGCAACGGAUAUCUCGGCUCUCGCAUCGAUGAAGAACGUAGCGAAAUGCGAUACUUGGUGUGAAUUGCAGAAUCCCGUGAACCAUCGAGUCUUUGAACGCAAGUUGCGCCCGAAGCCGUCAGGCCGAGGGCACGUCUGCAUGGGCGUCACGCAUCGCGUCUUCCCCACCCACAUCGCGUGGGAGGGGAAGGAGGAUGGCCUCCCGUGCCUCACCGGGCGCGGCUGGCCUAAAUAGGGAGCCCACGGCGACGAGUAGCCGCGGCGAUUGGUGGAUUAAAACCUCACGGAUCGCGCUGCGCAAGCACGUCGCCAGGGGAGCUCGAAGGACCCCGAGCGAACGCUCACAACCGUUGCGACCCCAUGUCAGGCGGGGCUACCCGCUGAGUUUAAGCAUAUCAAUAAG
rnacentral:rRNA from 1 species